CCGCAUGGAGCCUGCAGCCUUUGUUUAACUUAUAAAGAAAUGGGGGCUCCGAGCAGUCAAGAAGAACAUGCCCCAAGUUAUUCGUCAGUGAGGCGGAAAUUGUGGUGUACUUGUAGAAAGACACUGUUGCUCAGUCUCUGCUUUUUCCAGAAGAAGAGCAUCCAGACGUUCAGUUAAUGCCUAUUUUAGAACAAGAUUUAUUUGCCUGGGGUUAAAAAAUGGUGGAUUGACCACAUGCGUAAUUAUCUCCUGACCUUUUCAAAACACACUGAAGUGAGAAUAAGAGAUUUUAAAAGGUAGAACACAUUGCGCAAAGAGAAAAGGAGAAAAGAUAUAAGGAUAAGAGAAAUUUCAACACAUCUUUGGAAAACUGAAUUACGGAGGAGGAUGAACUGAAUUAGAAGCAGGAAGAAAGCUAUAACCUAAGGACCUGCACAAGGAAACACAUGAGAACCUGGCAAAUAUUCUGCAGAACUGAAAUGCUCAGAAUUGGAGGCAACAGAUAUUGUUGAGGGAGGUGUCAUGUGUGGGGCUCAAAAAUUGGUGAUUGGUCAACAAUCUGAAUAGGGACCAGUCAGAGAGUAAGCAAGAAAUAAUCUAUGUCCUUCCUCCCUCAGAGACAGGUUAUUCUCUGCAGAAAUUAAAGAGGAAAUUAAUGAGAUGGAAAAAAAAAUCAAUAAGCCAAGAGUCAGCUCUUUUAACACAGCUAUCAAAAUAGACACCUUUUAAUAAAACUGAUCAAAAGACAGAAGUUCCAAAAAAUAAUACAGUGUAAAAGGAAGCAUAUCUAUGUAAGUCGGGGAUGGUGGCUCAUGCCUGUAAUCCUAGCACUUUGGGAGGCAGAGGUGGGCAGAUCACUUGAGGUCAGGAGUUCAAGACCAGCCUGGGCAACAUGGUGAAACUCUGUCUCUACU
rnacentral:lncRNA from 10 species